AGAGGCAGUGCACCCUUAGGCGUAGCACCUGCACCGCCCUGCCCUGGGGAGGCGACCCCGAGUACCCACGCGGGACACUGGUCAAGGACAUCGGCCAGACAGUGAUAAGGACAGGAGCUGGUGUCUUAACCGGAGCAACAGACAUUCAAGCUGAAUGAGGCUGAAUGAGCACAGAAGGGGGAAGGGGGAAGGGGGAAGAGGAAACACUUGCGAUAAAAUAGGGAAGAAGCAAAGCUACCUCUGCCAAGAAAGCCAGCUUCUCACUGAAGCUCUCCUGAUUGGGGAGUGUUCCUAAGAGAAUCAGCCUCUGCCAGGAGAUGGAAGUGGCUUAUUUUGAAGACAACAUCCUCACACGUGUGUGUCCCUGUAUAUCCGGGACCCCCAGCUAAGUGUCAGUUCCUUGCUCAGAGAACCUGUGAUUGGGAUUCUCUGGGGGGAAAUGUUCAAAAUGAAUCAAUUAUCACCACCAGCAGAGAGUUCAAUACCACUGUACAGGGACCCAGCUUUGUAUUAGUGCAUGAAUGAAUUACUGGUACUCAUGUCAUUUGCAAAUAACCAUCAUUAUAGCGCAGUGGAAAAUUCCCCCUACCCAUUUAGUCUAAGUAGCACCUUAGCAGAGCAUUGCAAUAACCCUCAUGGACCCUCCAAAAUAUUUGCACAUAUAUGUUCAGAUUAAGCUCCAGAUAGUUUAAUAUGAGAGUAUCUAUUUGGACACAAGGUCACCCCUUACACUCAUUAAACCAAUCUGAAUGAGGUCUGAUAACUCUUAAGGGAAAUCAGCACUUGAAAUGCUUUCGACUUUUUGGAGACACGGAUGGAAUAUAUCAGCAGGCUUCGCUCAGCAUGAGACAGCUCUGAAAACUCCAGAAAGGACAUAUCGCUGUCCCACCCCACCCUCAGAGUCGUUCUUCACACAUCUAAGGCUUGUGGUGGGUGUGAAUUUAAUGUAAGGGGUGGGGGGAGUGGAGAACUUUACAGAAAAAGUGUGUUUCUUCUGACCAAAUCUGAUCUGAGUCAAUUUUUCUGCUGAUUCCUCCUACCCAGUGGGAAUUUUUAAAAAAUCCAUAACGAGCACAUUUUGUGUUCUAAAGGACAUGAAUAAAAUGAUCCAGAGCUGUGGAGAUAACUCAGUGUGUAAUUGUGCUUGUUUUCCAUGAGAGCAAGGAGUACUUAGUUCAAAUUCUCCAAACCUAGAGAAAAGAAAUGCUAGGCUUAGUCAUGUAUCUGUAACUCUACCUUUUUGCCGGCAUUGGGGUGGAUAUAGGGACUUGAUAGCCAGCCAUCCUGAGCAGCUUUAGGCUAAGUGAAAUACUUAUCAUGUCCCAAAGUGUAAGACAGCAGGUAGUGGGGAAAGAACCCCUGAAGUCUCCCUUUGGCAUAUACACUCAUAGACAUGCACCUGUCCCUGGACACACAGGCAACACACACACACACACACACACACACACAUUGGAAAAUAGGUUGAAGGAGCUGGAGAGCAACUCAUAUGAAAAAAAAAAAAAACCCCUAGGUUUUAUACUUAAUUUGCUUUUUGAAAACAUUUCUAAAAGCCUUAACCUUCAUGUAUGAAGCAACACUUGAACCCCUCCCUGGUUUUGAAGAAUAACCUUAGGUUUAGAAGAGGUGAAUAAAAUAGUGUUUUCCUAAAGGAGUUAUGUCCGGAUGGCUUUAUGUUUCAUUGUUAAAAUCCAGCGAGGAGAACUUGGAAGUGGACACUAGGAACAGCCUUCUCAGCAUACUCCUAUUUCAUUGACAUAAGUGACUUUUGAGCUUCAACCUAAGGACGUGGGAAUAAUAACGGCUUCAUAGUGGGAUAAUGGUAAUUAGCACACAAAAGUUGAGUUAAUUACCAUGAAGGUUAUGACACAGACUGACAGACUGAGUCAAAGUAAACUACAAGCCUUCCACCUCAGUCAAGACUCUAAAAAGGGACCGUACAACUCCCACUGCAUUUAGACAUAAAGCACAAUUGAGAUCAGUCACCUUUUCUCCCUCCAUCCUUAUUUCUAGACUUUUAAUUUCUUCGUAUGAAAUUCAAGAACAAUAGCUCUAGCCGUGUAUAUUUUGAUAAAGUAUGUAUAGUUGAUUUUCAUUGUUCUUGGUGAUGACAUUCCAUAAAGUUGCUGCCCAUAAUGAAAUGUUCCCAGUAAAAAUAGAGAGGUAAGUUCCAGAGUCCCUCUGUAAAAUGAUCUUCAUUAACUCAUCAGCACAUAAUCUCAUUUUCUGAAAGCUUCUGGUAGAUACUCUGUUCAGGAUGUGUUAUUGUUUCCCGAACACUCAGCUUCCCUCGCAGCACUGUAGCCUUUGCCUCACAGAGCUUGUUAUCCAAAGCUUGUAUUUUCUGUGCAAAGCAUUGCAGUCUUUUUAGGAACACCAGGAAACACAGUAUGUAUGGGGGUCAUUUUGAACAGCAAAAUUGCCAAAGAACAUUCUAAAAUAGCUAGCAGUGCUACC
ensembl:lincRNA Gm15631 predicted gene 15631